AUUGAACGCUGGCGGCAUGCCUUACACAUGCAAGUCGAACGGUAACGGGUCCUUCGGGAUGCCGACGAGUGGCGAACGGGUGAGUAAUAUAUCGGAACGUGCCCAGUAGUGGGGGAUAACUGCUCGAAAGAGCAGCUAAUACCGCAUACGACCUGAGGGUGAAAGGGGGGGAUCGCAAGACCUCUCGCUAUUGGAGCGGCCGAUAUCAGAUUAGCUAGUUGGUGGGGUAAAGGCCUACCAAGGCAACGAUCUGUAGUUGGUCUGAGAGGACGACCAGCCACACUGGGACUGAGACACGGCCCAGACUCCUACGGGAGGCAGCAGUGGGGAAUUUUGGACAAUGGGCGCAAGCCUGAUCCAGCAAUGCCGCGUGCAGGAAGAAGGCCUUCGGGUUGUAAACUGCUUUUGUCAGGGAAGAAAUCUUCUGGGCUAAUACCCCGGGAGGAUGACGGUACCUGAAGAAUAAGCACCGGCUAACUACGUGCCAGCAGCCGCGGUAAUACGUAGGGUGCGAGCGUUAAUCGGAAUUACUGGGCGUAAAGCGUGCGCAGGCGGCUUUGCAAGACAGAUGUGAAAUCCCCGGGCUCAACCUGGGAGCUGCAUUUGUGACUGCAAGGCUAGAGUACGGCAGAGGGGGAUGGAAUUCCGCGUGUAGCAGUGAAAUGCGUAGAUAUGCGGAGGAACACCAAUGGCGAAGGCAAUCCCCUGGGCCUGUACUGACGCUCAUGCACGAAAGCGUGGGGAGCAAACAGGAUUAGAUACCCUGGUAGUCCACGCCCUAAACGAUGUCAACUGGUUGUUGGACGGCUUGCUGUUCAGUAACGAAGCUAACGCGUGAAGUUGACCGCCUGGGGAGUACGGCCGCAAGGUUGAAACUCAAGGGAAUUGACGGGGACCCGCACAAGCGGUGGAUGAUGUGGUUUAAUUCGAUGCAACGCGAGAAACCUUACCUACCCUUGACAUGUCAAGAAUUCUGCAGAGAUGUGGAAGUGCUCGAAAGAGAACUUGAACACAGGUGCUGCAUGGCCGUCGUCAGCUCGUGUCGUGAGAUGUUGGGUUAAGUCCCGCAACGAGCGCAACCCUUGUCAUUAGUUGCUACGCAAGAGCACUCUAAUGAGACUGCCGGUGACAAACCGGAGGAAGGUGGGGAUGACGUCAGGUCCUCAUGGCCCUUAUGGGUAGGGCUACACACGUCAUACAAUGGCCGGUACAGAGGGCUGCCAACCCGCGAGGGGGAGCCAAUCCCAGAAAACCGGUCGUAGUCCGGAUCGUAGUCUGCAACUCGACUGCGUGAAGUCGGAAUCGCUAGUAAUCGCGGAUCAGCUUGCCGCGGUGAAUACGUUCCCGGGUCU
rnacentral:rRNA from 1 species